rnacentral:rRNA from 1 species
AUUGAACGCUGGCGGAAGGCCUAACACAUGCAAGUCGAACGAGUGGCGGACGGGUGAGUAAUGUCUGGGAAACUGCCCGAUGGAGGGGGAUAACUAAUGGAAACGGUAGCUAAUACCGCAUAUCAUCGGAUUUGCCCAGAUGGGAUUAGCUAGUAGGUGGGGUAAUGGCUCACCUAGGCGACGAUACCUAGCUGGUCUGAGAGGAUGACCAGCCACACUGGAACGGAGUCACGGUCCAGACUCCUACGGGAGGCAGCAGUGGGGAAAAUUGCACUAUGGUCGCAAGCCUGAUGCAGCCAUGCCGCGUGUAUGAAGAAGGCCUUCGGGUUGUAAAGUACUUUCAGCGAGGAGGCGUUACUCGCAGAAGAAGCACCGGCUAACUCCGUGCCAGCAGCCGCGGUAAUUC